GACGUAGGUGGCGAGCGUUGUCCGGAAUUACUGGGCGUAAAGGGCGUGUAGGCGGCCCUUCAAGUCAGGCGUGAAAUUCCUGGGCUCAACCCAGGGACUGCGUUUGAGACUGAGGGGCUUGAGGACAGGAGAGGGAAGCGGAACUCCGUGUGUAGCGGUGAAAUGCGUAGAUAUACGGAAGAACACCAGUGGCGAAGGCGGCUUCCUGGACUGUCCCUGACGCUGAGGCGCGAAAGCCAGGGGAGCGAACGGG
rnacentral:rRNA from 1 species